CCUACGGGAGGCAGCAGUGGGGAAUAUUGGACAAUGGGCGAAAGCCUGAUCCAGCCAUGCCGCGUGUGUGAAGAAGGCUUUCGGGUUGUAAAGCACUUUCAGCGAGGAAGAAAGCCUCUGGGUUAAUACCCCAGAGGAAGGACAUCACUCGCAGAAGAAGCACCGGCUAACUCCGUGCCAGCAGCCGCGGUAAU
rnacentral:rRNA from 1 species